rnacentral:lncRNA from 1 species
GGAGGAAGAGCCGGAGCCAGCCAGGAAAGGAGGAGAGCAGAUCCUUAGGCAGAACAACACGUGCAAAGGUCCGGAGAUGCUUAUUAGCUAAUGAAAGAAAGAUGACAGUAACCGUACAGGCAGAAACCUGGCCGGCGCGCUGCAGCCACGGGAACAGGCUGAAGCAAUAAGACACACCCUCACGAUGCGCCGAGAAGGACACAGUGCUGCUUCUGUGAUAUGCCUGCCCGAAAUGCACAGCCUCACUCCAGUCAUGGGAAAACACUGGACAAAUCCAAAUCGGGGGCAGUUCGACAAAACAACUGAUCAGUACUCUUCAAAAAGUGUCGAGGUUAUGAAAGAGGAACUGUCAGCCACUAGAGGAGAAUGAGGCAAAAUGACCGCUGAAAGCAAUGUGGAUCCUGGACAGGGUCCUGCACCCGGAAGAGGACGGUAGCAGAAAGUCAAGUGAAAUUUGAGGAAGAUCUGUAGUUUACUUAAUGCAUGGCUCGACAAGCAGUGCCAUGUCUGCACCCGGGAUCCGAACCAGUGAACCCCAGGCCACCGAAGCGGAACGUGCGCAGUUAACCGCUGCACCACUUGGCCAGCCCCUAAAACGCUUUAGUUUAAAAUAAAAAGUUUUGGCGUUUUUUUUUUUUAAUGACUAUUUCAGUGGUUCUUAGCGUCGGGGACACAUUUGAAUCACUUAGAGAUUUUUAAUGCCAGUGCCCAGGGUCCUCCUGGACCAACCGGAUCAGCAUCUCCAGGAGAGGGGCCCAGGCAGGGGUCUUUAGAAGUCCCCAGGCGAUGCCGGUGGCAGCCCCAGGUGAAGGGUGAGCUAUUUGUAAACCACUUCACCCACAGUAGGCCUUCAAUAAAUCAUCAUUCCCCCACAUCAAUGUGUUGGUU